UACGGAAGGGGCAAGCGUUGUUCGGAAUUACUGGGCGUAAAGGGCGCGCAGGCGGCUGCUCAAGUCAGGCGUGAAAGGCCUGGGCUCAACCCGGGAAUUGCGCUUGAGACUGGGCUGGCUUGAGUGCGGGAGAGGAACGCGGAAUUCCAGGUGUAGCGGUGAAAUGCGUAGAUAUCUGGAGGAACACCGGUGGCGAAGGCGGCGUUCUGGACUGCAACUGACACUGAGAGACGAAAGCCAGGGGAGCAAACGGG
rnacentral:rRNA from 1 species